AAGAAUACAGUCUGAGGAGAAGGGAAGAAGAAUAACAUUACAGUGGACAAACUUGACAAACCCUACUUCAGCCCUCAAGGCCAACAGUCACAAAUGACCCGAGUGUUAUGUAUCUUUUAUGUGACAAAAGGGUCACUUUGCCUUUGUGAUCUUCUUUCCAAAAACCAUAACCCAAGUCGAAUCAUGAGAAAAAAAUUUUUUUAAACAACAACUUCAGUAGAAAGGCACCCUACAAAAUACCUCACCAGCACUCCUCCAAACUAUCAAGGUCAUCAAAAACAAGGAAAAGUUUAAAAAACUGUCACAGCUGAGAAGAGGCUAGGGAGACAUACAACUAAAUGUAGUAAGAUAUCAUGAAUGAGACCCUAGAGCAGAAAAAGGACAUUAGAUUAAAAAUAAAAAAGUAAGAAAAUCGGGAUAAACUAUGGACUUUAUUUAAUAAUAAAAUAUCAACAUUCAUUCAUUCAUUGUAACAAAUAUCACAAUUAAUGAGUAGUUUAGGGAUUCAUGUAAGGGUAGUCAAAUCAUACAGAGAAGGUAAAAAAUAUAUAGUGAUUAUCCAAAGGGAAGGGAGGAGGCUGUGAUCCUGUGAGCCACAUCAGUAUUCUCUGGGGUGCAUAUAAUGUUGUAUUUCCUAACCUGAAUGAGAGAUUAUUGGUUAUUACAACAGAUGUUGGUUUAGUAAUAUUCAUUAAGCUUUUUUAUGUUUAAAAGACUUUAUGUGUUCAUUCAGAG